CCAGACUCCUACGGGAGGCAGCAGUGGGGAAUAUUGCACAAUGGGCGAAAGCCUGAUGCAGCAACGCCGCGUGAGCGAUGAAGGCCUUCGGGUCGUAAAGCUCUGUCCUCAAGGAAGAUAAUGACGGUACUUGAGGAGGAAGCCCCGGCUAACUACGUGCCAGCAGCCGCGGUAAUACGUAGGGGGCUAGCGUUAUCCGGAAUUACUGGGCGUAAAGGGUGCGUAGGUGGUUUCUUAAGUCAGAGGUGAAAGGCUACGGCUCAACCGUAGUAAGCCUUUGAAACUGGGGAACUUGAGUGCAGGAGAGGAGAGUGGAAUUCCUAGUGUAGCGGUGGAAUGCGCAGAUAUCGGGAAGAACACCGAUGGCGAAGGCAGCUCUCUGGGCCGUCACUGACGCUGAGGCGCGAAAGCUGGGGGAGCGAACAGGAUUAGAUACCCUGGUAC
rnacentral:rRNA from 1 species